rnacentral:misc_RNA from 1 species
GUGAGUCAUCGAAUCUUUGAACGCACAUUGCACCCUCUGGUAUUCUGGAGGGUAUGCCUGUUUGAGUGUCAUUUAAAUGCGUCAACACAGACCAAGCUCCACCACACACGGUGACUUGCUCUGCUGCUUUUGGAUGUUGAAGGCCUGCUGGCGAGCAGUCAGCUCCUUUUAAAUUCAUUAGCGGGACAACUUGCACUUUAGCUGGUCUGCAGUUUGAUAAAUUGAACUGCUGUCCGGUGUGUACCGAGAAGUUCCUGCUUCCAACCGUCCAGUGGAUCUGGACUGUCUCACUCUUUUGAG